UGCCUGAAUGCUUAAGGGUCACUAUGAUAAAGUGAACAUAGAGGUAUACCAGCCCUCUCAUUUCCUCGUACUUAG
rnacentral:tRNA from 1 species